AUUGAACGCUGGCGGCAGGCCUAACACAUGCAAGUCGAGCGGAUGAGUGGAGCUUGCUCCAUGAUUCAGCGGCGGACGGGUGAGUAAUGCCUAGGAAUCUGCCUGGUAGUGGGGGACAACGUUUCGAAAGGAACGCUAAUACCGCAUACGUCCUACGGGAGAAAGUGGGGGAUCUUCGGACCUCACGCUAUCAGAUGAGCCUAGGUGGGAUUAGCUAGUUGGUGAGGUAAAGGCUCACCAAGGCGACGAUCCGUAACUGGUCUGAGAGGAUGAUCAGUCACACGGGAACUGAGACCCGGUCCAGACUCCUACGGGAGGCAGCAGUGGGGAAUAUUGGACAAUGGGCGAAAGCCUGAUCCAGCCAUGCCGCGUGUGUGAAGAAGGUCUUCGGAUUGUAAAGCACUUUAAGUUGGGAGGAAGGGCAGUAAGUUAAUACCUUGCUGUUUUGACGUUACCAACAGAAUAAGCACCGGCUAACUUCGUGCCAGCCGCCGCAGUAA
rnacentral:rRNA from 1 species